UACGUAGGGUGCAAGCGUUGUCCGGAAUUAUUGGGCGUAAAGAGCUCGUAGGCGGUUUGUUGCGUCGGCUGUGAAAUCCCGAGGCUCAACCUCGGGUCUGCAGUCGAUACGAGCAAACUAGAGUGUUGCAGGGGAGACUGGAAUUCCUGGUGUAGCGGUGAAAUGCGCAGAUAUCAGGAGGAACACCGAUGGCGAAGGCAGGUCUCUGGGCAGUUACUGACGCUGAGGAGCGAAAGCAUGGGGAGCGAACAGG
rnacentral:rRNA from 1 species